rnacentral:rRNA from 1 species
UACGAAGGGGGCUAGCGUUGUUCGGCAUCACUGGGCGUAAAGCGCACGUAGGCGGAUCGUUAAGUCGGGGGUGAAAUCCCGAGGCUCAACCUCGGAACUGCCUUCGAUACUGGCGAUCUUCGAGUCCGGGAGAGGUGAGUGGAACUCCGAGUGUAGAGGUGAAAUUCGUAGAUAUUCGGAAGAACACCAGUGGCGAAGGCGGCUCACUGGCCCGGUACUGACGCUGAGGUGCGAAAGCGUGGGGAGCAAACAGG